UACAGAGGGUGCAAGCGUUAAUCGGAAUUACUGGGCGUAAAGCGCACGUAGGCGGCUAUGUAAGUCAGGUGUGAAAUCCCCGGGCUCAACCUGGGAACUGCACUUGGGACUGCAUGGCUAGAGUAUGGGAGAGGAAGGCGGAAUUCCCGGUGUAGCGGUGAAAUGCGUAGAUAUCGGGAGGAACAUCAGUGGCGAAGCCGGCCUUCUGGCCCAAUACUGACGCUCAGGUGCGAAAGCGUCGGUAGCAAACAGG
rnacentral:rRNA from 1 species